GCUUUGGCUCCUAGCCAGAUCCGCCAUCUGUCUCUUGCUCUCCCUCUCUCUCUCUCGCCUGAAUUUGUCCUACAUUUCGUAAUGUUACGUGCUUGCCAUCCUUAUUCUAUGUCAGAGGUACAGCACGAGCCUCACCCCUGUUCCGGUGUGGAGUUCUCUGAGUUCGGUAGCACUUUGGAUAUUCCACUUCAAUGCCAUGGGAAGAAAAGGAGUAUCUUCGUUUUCUUUAUUGGAUGCUGGCACUGUACGCCACUGUACAGCUCCGUGGAAUGCCUGCUGUUGGAUACUUGCAGAUCCCUGCCACCAAGCAACCUCCUGCAUUGGAAAUCGGGUGACUACUUCAGGAUCUUAUGCGUGCUUGCUGUUUGAAGCUGCAGAAAAGUGAAUAAUCAAUUAAGUAUUGAUUUCUUGUAAGAUUUGGUAAAUUUCAAAGGCAAGACAAAGAGGAUGGCUUAAGGAAAGCACUGCAGGGACUUGGCGUAAAUUAGACAACUAACAGCAGUGCAGAAUAAAAUAACACCUCAACUGAAUAUUUCCUUGGAAGAAUUAGCACUAGCUAUUGGAAGACGAUGGUGGAUUUAAUCAAGACGGCAGGCACGCUUGAGUUUUAACCGUGAACCUGAAAGAGGAGCUAAUUAUAACCACCUUUUUAUAUGGAGCUAAUUUGACUGAAUGGAUGCAAAUGUGCUUUAUUUAUGGAUGAAGAAGCAAGCCUUACAGCAUUGACUUUGGGAUCAUCGCAUAUGCUAAGCUUUACAGCUUCUCUAAAAGUCAAGACUACAGUACAUUUUUAUUUACUGAGAAGGUAUUUAUAUGUAAGCAUAAGCUAUCCGUACAAAAGAUUCAUCAGAACAAUGUACUGUGGCACUGAGGAUCUAAUUAUAAUUUUGCAGCAUUUCAUGUUUUCUCUAAUUUGGUUCUUUUCAACCCUUGCUUGUGAUGGGUUAUAAAUGGGACAAUAAAUGUAUGAUUUAAACUAUUGUGAUUUUGAUUGUGUAGUUUAUUAAUCGUACCGUAGUUUUCUUAACGUGUUUCUGAAUUAUUCAGCAGUAAUUUAUAAUGAAAGAAGCAGAACUGGUGGGGUGGUUUUAAAUUCAUUUUUAAUCUUCUUACAGAUCUAAAUGUACAGGUUCUACCAGCCGAUGAGCUCUAUAAUUACAAAAGAAUGUUGAAAUUUUCAGAUAAAUGGGGCACUGACUUUACAAUGGGCAAAAUAUUGUACAAUCAGUAAAAGAAGGAUUGUUAUAUUUUGACUCUGUGGAGACUUGUCUUGGUUAGUUAACUCCUUCUCUGCUGAUAAUGGUAAGCAAAUGUACUUUAUAUGAGAAAAUGGGGGAGAACCUGAUAUAUUAGUUAGAUAUUUUGCUAGUCUGAAACCUUAACAUUUUUUUUUUUCAAUUGGUUCCAUUUCUGUUACUUUUCCCUAUUUGCUUCUCUGGGUUUAGUCGUUUGGCUGUUUUUGUUGUUUUUUUUUCCUCCUGUCUUGCAAUCUACAUUCCCUGAGCAACCACAGGAACCAAGUUACAUUAAGCUUCAACACAAAGACGAUGUAAGAAUAAUGAAUCCUCAUUUGCAUCGACAUUUGUAUUCAGAUUUGCCAGGCUAUAAACUUGGCAGAUCAAGCGGAAUAUUAAGUAGCAGCUUCCAUAGUAAACUGCUACUCUUGCAACUGCUGAGUCGUUUUUCCUAUUUUUGUGUGUGCAUAUGUGUGUGUGUGCACAUGUGUACAUGUGUGUGUACCUGUGUACAUGUGUGCAUAUCUGUAAUAGCAGGUAAAGUCUCAUGACUACUUGAUUUCUGAGAAGUACAUUGGCCCUCUUUCUCUUUCAGUAUAUGAUGUCAGUUUAUGCAGAAUAUAACAGGAAUACACUGGCAAUAAGGAUUUUAGCUGAAGAUAUAGUGUGACAUAUGACUAAAGCAUUAACUCCCGUGUCUAGAGACCGUGUGGAAGAAUUCUUUAAGCAAAUAGAUAAACACUAUUGCUAAAGUAAACAGAUCUUCUACAUUAACUGGAGGUUUGAUUUCACUGCAAGUAGAGUACAAAGCAUGAGCUGUGAAAUAGCACUAAAUCUAUCUGCUGCAUAAUGUGACACACUGUUUAAUUUGUGAUGGAGUUAAUAUAUGCAUGCAUGUUUCCAUUAAAAACUUGAGCCUUGGUAUGUGUACCAUCAGGUGCUCUCCACUUUGGUUUGGUUAGACUGUCUUGAGCUUUACAGUAGUAUUUGUGAGAGCAAAGCUGGUCCUUCUCUUCCAGGCUUGGACACUGGAUCUUUUACUUCACUGACACUUGCUGAAGAAGAGGUGCUCCUAGCUACACAUUUCCCCAAGAAUCCCUCCCUUUUCUUUCUGUGUAGUCUUUUUCAGAAUGAAUAAUUGCAAAAGUGGAAGAUUUACCUUAUCAUUCUCCUUUUCAACUUUGUGUUAUUGGAAGUAAUUUAUGCACAAACCUUGGAAAUUUUAAUUUAUCCAUGACAUGUAUGAUAUUAUUUCAGAAACAGUGAAACAGUGCUCAGUCAACAAGUGCUAAAAAUUCUCCAAGACUUGCAUUUGCUACCCAUAGAUUUUAAAAUAGCUGUCCUGGGACUCAGGAGAAGUCGAGAGUGUCACUGAAUUAAGAGGUGCAGGAAAUGAUCAGGCAUGCAGGAAAUGCUUCCAGUGCUUUCUUUUUGUACAUAGCUACUCCUUACCACACACAUUAACAUAAAUCUAGCAAAAAGAAUGCCACUAUAGUCUAUAGCAUGUGUUUUUAUAAUUCUUUAUAACAGCCUUCUAUAUUAAAGAGGUACUGUGACAGAGAAAAAUCCUGGAGUUUUUUCUAGUCAUUCAUAAACAAUUUGCGGCACUGAAUUUAAAAACUUAAUCUGUGGCUGGUUAUUUAGCUUAAUCCAUUGAAAAGCAAGAGCAAUGCAAUGUCUAAACCUGUUGUAAACAAUAUUGUGCUGUAUAAUUAUAGUCUAUAAUUUCAGCUGGGAAAGUCAUAUCAGCUUUGUUUUCUGUAAAAAUAAAUGACACCCAAAUACUGUUUA